UGAGGAAUAUUGGUCAAUGGACGAGAGUCUGAACCAGCCAAGUAGCGUGCAGGACGACGGCCCUAUGGGUUGUAAACUGCUUUUGUACGGGGAUAAAGUGAGCCACGUGUGGUUUAUUGCAGGUACCGUACGAAUAAGGACCGGCUAAUUCCGUGCCAGCAGCCGCGGUAAUACGGAAGGUCCGGGCGUUAUCUGGAUUUAUUGGGUUUAAAGGGAGCGUAGGCCGGAGAUUAAGCGUGUUGUGAAAUGUAGUGGCUCAACCUCUGCACUGCAGCGCGAACUGGUCUUCUUGAGUACGCACAACGUGGGCGGAAUUCGUGGUGUAGCGGUGAAAUGCUUAGAUAUCACGAAGAACUCCGAUUGCGAAGGCAGCUCACGG
rnacentral:rRNA from 1 species